ensembl:misc_RNA Metazoa_SRP Metazoan signal recognition particle RNA
GCCCUCAAAAGGUAUGUGUAGUAUUAGGUACUCAGGGGGCUGAGGUGGGAGGAUCCCAUGACCCUAGAGUUCUGGGCUGUAGUAUGCUAUGCCUGUCAGGUGUCCACACUAAGUUUAGCAUCAAUAGGGUGACCUCCUGGGAGCAGGGACCACCAGGUUGCCCAAGGAUGGUUGACAUGGCCUGGGACCAAAUGGAGCAGAUCAAAACUCCAGUGCUGAUCAGUAGUAGGAUAUGCCUGUGAAUAGCCAGUACACUCCAGCCUGGGCAACAUAGCAAGACCCCGUGUCUU